rnacentral:rRNA from 1 species
UACGGGGGGAGCAAGCGUUGUUCGGAUUUACUGGGCGUAAAGGGCGCGUAGGCGGCCUCCGCAAGUCAAUUGUGAAAUCUCCGGGCUUAACUCGGAAAGGUCAACUGAUACUGCGGGGCUAGAGUGCGGAAGGGGCAACUGGAAUUCUUGGUGUAGCGGUGAAAUGCGUAGAUAUCAAGAGGAACACCUGCGGCGAAGGCAGGUCUCUGGGCAUUAACUGACGCUGAGGAGCGAAAGCAUGGGGAGCGAACAGG